CACCUAUGGUCUCCUCUUUUCACAUUACCUGAUAUUCUACCCACAUGCACUAAUUUGAGGAGCAAAAUAAGUUGGGAUUGUUUUUUUAAUAAAGUUUUUUUAAAACAACUAGCUGGUAAUAAGUUAUUUAAUUUCCCCUCUGAAGACACCACAUGAGCCUUACCUAUGAUCCAGUGCUAACCCCAACAUGGUGCAUAAAAACUGGCCUCUUCACCCAACCCCCAGCACUUGCCUCUUCAGCUCUCCUCGCAUUUACCUCACCCUAGAAUCAGACCAAAGAAAGUCACGAGUGCAGCCUGAGGUAUUAGAAGGUAGAAUGGACCUAGCAGAAAGAGACAAGAACACAACGUGGGGGCAAAAAAGGCCUGUCCCGUUACCAACACCACCAGACCGACCAUACUGGCCUACCCCAAACUAGUGUUUUCAUUUCUCCUGACUGAUCAAGUCUCAUCUGUCUGCUUUUUGUCUAAAUGCAAGUGACAUUUAUAUCCAUCCCCUCCUUCUUUUAACCAUUUGUUCAUGUCUAUAUUUGAGUUUCUGGCAUCAUGCUAGGUUCUAAGGAUACAAAAAUGAAUGAGAUGCUAUCACCUGCUGUCAAGAAAUUCACAGCCUAGGGAGAGAGUGACAUAUGACCAGAGAGGGUCCAAUGUGGACAGAUAAUGAAGAAGGGAGUCAGCAGAGGAGAUUCUGAGAACACAAAGGAGAAGAGAGGCAGCAACCCAGCGUGGGUGGGGUGAGCUGAUCAGAGAAGGCCUCCUGGAGCAGUGCACCCAGAGCUGAUAUGGAGUUGGAAAGAUUAAAGGCUGGAUGGUGAUGAGCAGAUUUCAUCUUUCUGCCAAGAACAGAUUGACCCUGAGCAAGGAUAAAAAGGCCAGCCAUAAGGAGACAUGACAAAUACCAUUGAGUACUGCAGAGCAACUUGGCAGCUGCCCGAGGUAGAGCAUCUUGUUUACAUCACCACGCCAAGCCAGGAAGCAGAGUGAGGCUUUAGUCCCUGAGGCAUUAAGUCCUCACCCUGAUACCCCAAUCCAGGUCUAGCCACCUCUCUCCAGACAUAGUCCUGAGCAUAACAGCUGUGGAGAUCAGUUGCCUUUUCUGCGAAAUUGUCAUUAAACCAUGAGUAAUUUGGCACUAUUUUCUGCAUGAUUUGUCCUCUCUGAAAAUAAGCAGACUCAGGCUUGUGAAAAUGGAAAUUGAUUUACUUUCUAUCCUUCUUGAGCUCAUCUAUUUAAGGUCUACUUCUUCUGGGAUGUGCCAGGAGACUGCACUACUUUCAAGUGGUGGAAAUUUCUUAAAAAAAAAAAAAUAAAAAUAAGCUGAAGGAAACUUGGAAUGAGAAUGCACUUGGCUAAUUGGUUUGCCAUCUAGCACUACCUCUUUCUCUAAGCAGGGAGAAUCAAGCCGCUGUCUGCUUGAUGGGGCAGUGGCAGCCUCGUGUAACCUCUGUAGUUAUCUUCUGACUACUCAGCUGAAUCCACUGCAUUCUACAUAUCUUUCUUAUUUAACGUAGAGUAUGCAUUUAAAAAUAAUAUUUCUGUAAACCUUAUCAAGCAAAACAUGGCAUGACUCGAUGCCAAAUUAUAGUGAUGAUUAUUUUAAGAAGAAUCACAGCGCUUUGGCCCAGUUUUUGGAAAAUGUGAUUAAUAGCACUGCCAGUGCCUUCUAGUGAGCCAGCACCACAAACUAGCUAUUUGAUUUCAUAACACAGUGCUGUUGUGAUCACCAAAGCAACACUAUCCGUUUAGGUGCUGGAUUAGAAUCCAGGCGAGUCCGCAGUAUAGUCUUUACACUUCAUCAACUUCCACACAGGACAUAAAUUGUACUAAUAUAGUAAUAUACUGAAAUCUCAGACCAACUGUUUGUCAUCGGAUUAGAAUGUGAUGACACAGAAUAAAGAUGUGAGACAGAAUCUGUGCUGAGGUCUAAAUUCACAUUGGAAGUCUGGGAAGAGAAGACUGUUUAUAAAAUUAUAGCCCAGGAAUUGCUGCCAAAGUCGGCCUUUGGUGCAGCUGUAAGUCGGAUGGAAUCCACCUUCCUGACGUCAGACCCACCCACUGGAACACUGCUCCUCUGACUGGGGCUUCCCUGAAUGGAAACUACAUGUCAUACUGCAAAGUUCCAGAUAGAUUUCAUCACUCAAGAUAAGCAAAUGAACCACAGAAUUUUGAAGUUAGAGGUAAUUACAGCAAUGAUCUUAGCCAGCCCCCAUACAUUUUGGGACACACAGGUUCAGGACUGCCUGCCCUGGAGCUGAUUCCAUAAGAUACCCAAACAACUUCUGAAAGAGAAAAAAGUCUUUGUCUCAGUUUCUGCUCUCCAGAGGUAACCCAAAGAGGUAAGGAACCCAGUGAGAAAGACAGAGAGAAGUAUGGACAAGAAACAGAUCCUAAACCUGUUUUGUUUUAUUUUUGGUAGUAGUUGUUUAUUUUUGAAAACAUUCAAACCACCUGUAUUGGUGGCUGUUAUUAUGAAAUAAAUAAACUGAGAAACAACAAGACAAUUUGGCCUCUACAAUUUGUUUAGUUUUGACUAAGUAUUUGCCUUGGAAGAAGUAUGUGUACAAUACUCAUUUUUAAAAGAUGCAACAGUCACCUCGUUACUUGGAGUUUUACUUGAGACUUGAAUGGACUGAAACCACCUGGUCACCACUAGAAGCUACAUCAAGGAAAAGAAAGGCAACAUAUUGAAUCUCUUGGGAGAAACUCAUCCUGUAUCUGCUCGAUUGAAAACAUGAAGGUGCACAUUCCAAGCUGCAUAUGCUCAGGUCCGAGUUUCCAAGGAAACAAGGGACUGCUCAUCUAUCUGCAAAACUGAACUGACGAGUCACUUUCAGCUUGUUACAAACCUUGAUUCUGAAUCAAAUUCUAGUGUGCAGUCUAAAAAUUCUCACUGCCUUGUCAUUUCUGCCGAGCAAACCCCUGAUGCUAUGAGGCUGGCAGUUGGGCAGGGAUUUUCCUGGGUUGUGCACUCUAAUUUUUUCCUCUGCACUGUUAGUGAAAUACUGUCAUUGAGAACCAGCUCCACACUGCACCUAUGUGAGAAAGGCCUUGGUUUCUAUCAGUAAAGUCAGACAGGGCUAUGUGCAUUUGGGAUGCCCUGGUCAACCAUACAGGAGGAAGCACAGUGGUCUUCCCAGCUCUCACAGUGGCCACCAGCUCUCAGGCUCACAAACUAGGCAAAGCAAAGAGCAACAGAACAACCUACUUCCCAACUUUCAUUAGUCACUCAAAUCCAAGUGGGUGAUCGUAUUUCUGAAGGUCUUGAAUACAGGACUUCCUGACCAUUCUUUAGCAUUUACUGAUGAAAGUAUUUCAGAUGUGUUAUGUUGUUUGGCAUGUGUUAUGUUGUUUGGCAAUCACAGUAAGUGUUGAGAUAGAUACUAUGAUUAUCUUCAUUCUCUAGGAACAGGCACAGAGAGGUUAAGUAAUUUCCCAAAGGUCACACAGUUUGUAAGUGAUAAAACUGAUUUGAAGCCAAACUAUGUCACCCCAAACUCAUAUUUUUAACACUUUAUUCCAUCUUCUAAAAGGCUGGCUAUUCUAUUUUUCUCUAAGUUUCAAAUUAGUAUGCCCAUUCCCUUGUUCAUUCAUUCAUUCAUCCAACAAACAUGUGUCAGGCAUCUAUGCCAGGCUCUGUGGAUAUAGUAUAAUAACAAACAAGACAGAUAAGAUUUCUCAGGGAGCUUACGUUUUGUAGAGGAGACUAAAUAAAUAAGCAAGCACAAACAAUGUAGAGUUUGUAAUAUUACCUAUCCCAGCAAAGGAAACCAACACUAGUGUGAGAAAAUUAAAUUAUAAAAGACCCUAACAUUUUCAAGAUACUGAAGGGGAUGAGAUGAAGCAGAGGUAGAGUGGGGCUGGAUUAUGCUGAAACACAUAGAACAGACUGGAUUCUAUUUUAAGUGAGGUGAUAAAUUCUUAAGGGUUUGUCAUUUUUGAGGUAGAACUGUCUUUUGUUCCUAUUGUAAAGAAACUACAUAGGUAGGCAUAAAAUACACCUGUAUGCCAGAGAUAGAAAAAUUCAUAUAAUUCCCAACUCCAAUUCUAUUUCUCUAGGAUAAUUUUAAUUGUGUAUAUGAAACAUAUCUCAAUGUUCUUGAAAGACUGAAAUCCACUCUUUUUAUUAUUUAUUGACUUAUUGAUUUGUGGUUAAGGAAAAAGUAGACUGAAGUAAAAAUAAAGAGUGCAGGAGUAUAAUUGCACAAGAAGUGGGAGGGAGACUUGUUGAACAGGCAACAGCCUAAAGUGAGUAUCCAUGAGUGGGCUCAGUAUGACCCUGCAGCUCCCCCAUCACACUUGCACCCACCUCAAGGAAUCCAGUUCACCUCUAUGGAAAAUCCCUGGGCUCCACGGGACAGAGUCUUGUUUUGUUUUACAUCUGUGUGUCCAUGCCUAGCCAGUAUCUUGUUUAGUGCAGCCUUUCCAUAAUAUUUGUGGAGAGAAAGAAAAAUGAAAGGAAGAAGAGAGGGAGGGGAAAAAGAAAGUGAGAGGAAAGAAGAAAGGUAAAAAGGAAGUAGCACUCUUGGUUUUGCUUCUCCUUGGCUGUUUCGUUAUUCUCAGUACUCCCCAACCCAUCUUCCUGGGAUAAGAAAAAAAAAAGACAUCUAAAAUGACACUUCCAAAAGAUUAAUAUUUUCAUUUCAACACUUCUGAAAGUAUUUCAAUGAAAUUGCUUUCAAAUGGUUUAUUUUAUAUUAGAUCAUUGAGAGAUAGAUUAAUGUCAUAAACGUAGGUACUAGCAAGCAAUAUUUUUGUCUCCUAUGUGCACAUAUUGUAUAUUUCAUAUCCUCUGAUAACUUGAAGUCACUAAUUUAAGUCAAAUUAGGGAAAGGGCAGUAUAGUAAUUGCAAUAUUUUCGGCUCCUUCUUGGUAACAAAUGCAGCUUCUUUUUUCCCCUCCACCCAUAUAUGAGUCUUCUUUUUCUUUGGCUAAGAUAUAAUAGCACUGCUCUACAUGAACAAAACUAUUUUUACUGGCUAUGUUAUUACUGAGAAAUGCAUUGGGAAAAUGUAAAAAUAUUUCACCUUUAUGUUGAAGAAAAUAAACACAGUGGAUUAGAUAAAAUUUGCACAGCUCUUGACAUGUGCCAUAUGUAACAUUUGGGAAACAUCAAAAAAGAGGCUCUGACUUCUUCGGAGAAUCAUAGACUCUGGCACUGGAGGGGGACUGAUCCACCACCCCACCUCACUCCAGCAAUUUGGGCAAACAAGACCUAAAGAAAUUGAAGGAUAAUCUAAAGUUUACAUUAUUAAUGGAAGAAACAAGACCAGAA
rnacentral:lncRNA from 10 species